GAGACACCCUUAUGGGGCAGGACUUGCUUCAGUGGGGCUUUGGGGUGGCUUUGGUGCUCACUGAGUCUGCCUCUUCAGUGUGUCACU
rnacentral:pre_miRNA from 1 species